CAGGCUUAACACAUGCAAGUCGAGGGGCAGCAUUUCAGUUUGCUUGCAAACUGGAGAUGGCGACCGGCGCACGGGUGAGUAACACGUAUCCAACCUGCCGAUAACUCGGGGAUAGCCUUUCGAAAGAAAGAUUAAUACCCGAUGGUAUAAUCAGACCGCAUGGUCUUGUUAUUAAAGAAUUUCGGUUAUCGAUGGGGAUGCGUUCCAUUAGGCAGUUGGUGAGGUAACGGCUCACCAAACCUUCGAUGGAUAGGGGUUCUGAGAGGAAGGUCCCCCACAUUGGAACUGAGACACGGUCCAAACUCCUACGGGAGGCAGCAGUGAGGAAUAUUGGUCAAUGGGCGCAGGCCUGAACCAGCCAAGUAGCGUGAAGGAUGACUGCCCUAUGGGUUGUAAACUUCUUUUAUAUGGGAAUAAAGUUUUCCACGUGUGGAAUUUUGUAUGUACCAUAUGAAUAAGGAUCGGCUAACUCCGUGCCAGCAGCCGCGGUAAUACGGAGGAUCCGAGCGUUAUCCGGAUUUAUUGGGUUUAAAGGGAGCGUAGGUGGACAGUUAAGUCAGUUGUGAAAGUUUGCGGCUCAACCGUAAAAUUGCAGUUGAUACUGGCUGUCUUGAGUACAGUAGAGGUGGCGGAAUUCGUGGUGUAGCGGUGAAAUGCUUAGAUAUCACGAAGAACUCCGAUUGCGAAGGCAGCUCACUGGACUGCAACUGACACUGAUGCUCGAAAGUGUGGGUAUCAAACAGGAUUAGAUACCCUGGUAGUCCACACAGUAAACGAUGAAUACUCGCUGUUUGCGAUAUACAGUAAGCGGCCAAGCGAAAGCAUUAAGUAUUCCACCUGGGGAGUACGCCGGCAACGGUGAAACUCAAAGGAAUUGACGGGGGCCCGCACAAGCGGAGGAACAUGUGGUUUAAUUCGAUGAUACGCGAGGAACCUUACCCGGGCUUAAAUUGCAUUUGAAUAUAUUGGAAACAGUAUAGCCGUAAGGCAAAUGUGAAGGUGCUGCAUGGUUGUCGUCAGCUCGUGCCGUGAGGUGUCGGCUUAAGUGCCAUAACGAGCGCAACCCUUAUCUUUAGUUACUAACAGGUCAUGCUGAGGACUCUAGAGAGACUGCCGUCGUAAGAUGUGAGGAAGGUGGGGAUGACGUCAAAUCAGCACGGCCCUUACGUCCGGGGCUACACACGUGUUACAAUGGGGGGUACAGAAGGCAGCUACCUGGUGACAGGAUGCUAAUCCCAAAAGCCUCUCUCAGUUCGGAUCGAAGUCUGCAACCCGACUUCGUGAAGCUGGAUUCGCUAGUAAUCGCGCAUCAGCCAUGGCGCGGUGAAUACGUUCCCGGGCCUUGUACACACCGCCCGUCAAGCCAUGAAAGCCGGGGGUACCUGAAGUACGUAACCGCAAGGAGCGUCCUAGGGUAAAACUGGUAAUUGGGGCUA
rnacentral:rRNA from 1 species